rnacentral:rRNA from 1 species
GACGAACGCUGGCGGCGUGCUUAACACAUGCAAGUCGAACGACGUGGCGACCGGGUGAGUAAUACGUUGGUAACCUGCCCUCCUUUUUGGGAUAAGCCUUGGCAACGGGGUCUAAUACCGAAUAUAGGGGGAUGGGCUCGCGGCCUAUCAGCUUGUUGGUGGGGGGAUGGCCUACCAAGGCGGUGACGGGUAGCCGGGCUGAGAGGGUGACCGGCCACAUUGGGACUGAGAUACGGCCCAGACUCGUACGGGAGGGAGCAGGGUGGGAUAUGGAACAAUGGGCGAAAGCCUGAUGCAGCGAGGCCGCGUGGGGGAUGAAGGCUUUCGGGUUGUAAACCUAUUUCGCUAUAGAACGGGUAGGUGGAGAAGAAGCGACGGCUAACUACGUGCCAGCAGCCGCGGUAAUAC